rnacentral:rRNA from 1 species
UAACACGUGGGUAACCUGCCCAGAAGCAGGGGAUAACACCUGGAAACAGAUGCUAAUACCGUAUAACAGAGAAAACCGCCUGGUUUUCUUUUAAAAGAUGGCUCUGCUAUCACUUCUGGAUGGACCCGCGGCGCAUUAGCUAGUUGGUGAGGUAACGGCUCACCAAGGCGAUGAUGCAUAGCCGACCUGAGAGGGUAAUCGGCCACAUUGGGACUGAGACACGGCCCAG